rnacentral:rRNA from 1 species
CUACCUUUCCGCCCGGGAUAACUAGCCGAAAGGUUAGCUAAUACCAGAUACGCUCAUCGAGCGGCAUCGCUUGAUGAUGAAAGCAGCAAUGCGCGGAUUGAGGAGCCUGCGGCCCAUUAGCUAGUUGGUGAGGUAAUGGCCCACCAAGGCAACGAUGGGUAGCUGGUCUGAGAGGACGACCAGCCACACUGGGACUGAGACACGGCCCAG